GACGAACGCUGGCGGCGUGCUUAACGCAUGCAAGUCGAACGGAAAGGCUCCAGCUUGCUGGAGUACUCGAGUGGCGAACGGGUGAGUAACACGUGGGUAAUCUGCCCUGCACUCUGGGAUAAGCCUGGGAAACUGGGUCUAAUACUGGAUAUGACCUUUCUCCUUAUGGGGUUUGGUGGAAAGUUUUUCGGUGUAGGAUGAGCCCGCGGCCUAUCAGCUUGUUGGUGGGGUGAUGGCCUACCAAGGCGACGACGGGUAGCCGGCCUGAGAGGGUGAUCGGCCACAUUGGGACUGAGAUACGGCCCAGACUCCUACGGGAGGCAGCAGUGGGGAAUAUUGCACAAUGGGCGGAAGCCUGAUGCAGCGACGCCGCGUGAGGGAUGACGGCCUUCGGGUUGUAAACCUCUUUCAGCAGGGACGAAGCGUAAGUGACGGUACCUGCAGAAGAAGCACCGGCUAACUAUGUG
rnacentral:rRNA from 1 species